GAUGAACGCUGGCGGCGUGCUUAAUACAUGCAAGUCGAACGGACGGACGCUACGCUUGCUUCUCUGAUGUUAGCGGAGGACGGGUGAGUAACGCGUGGAUAACCUACCUAUAAGACUGGUAUAACUUCGGGAAACCGGAGCUAAUACCGGAUGAUAUUCUGAACCGCGUUGUUGAAAAGUAAAAGACGGUCGUGCUGGCAGUUAUAGAGGGAUCCGCGCUGGAUGAGCUAGUUGGUAAGGUAACGGCUUACCAAGGCAAGGAUGCAUAGCCGACCUGAGAGGGUGAUAGGCCACACGGGAGCGGAGACACGGACAAGACGCCUACGGGAGGCAGCAGUAGGGAAUCGGCCGCAAUGGGCGAAAGCAUGACGGAGCAACGGCGCGUGAGUGAUGACGGCGUUCGGAGCGUAAAAAUCUGUUACGAGGGAAGAACAUAUUUGUAAGUAACUGUGCAGAGCGUGACGGUACCUAAUCAGAAAGCCACGGCUAACUACGUG
rnacentral:rRNA from 1 species